rnacentral:rRNA from 1 species
UACGUAGGGGGCAAGCGUUGUCCGGAUUUAUUGGGCGUAAAGAGCGUGUAGGCGGCUUGGCAAGUCCGCUGUGAAAACUCGAGGCUCAACCUCGAGACGUCGGUGGAAACUGCCUCGCUAGAGUCCGGAAGAGGAGAGUGGAAUUCCUGGUGUAGCGGUGAAAUGCGCAGAUAUCAGGAAGAACACCCGUGGCGAAGGCGGUUCUCUGGGACGGUACUGACGCUGAGACGCGAAAGCGUGGGGAGCGAACAGG